rnacentral:rRNA from 1 species
GAUGAACGCUGGCGGCGUGCCUAAUACAUGCAAGUCGAGCGAACAGACGAGGAGCUUGCUCCUCUGACGUUAGCGGCGGACGGGUGAGUAACACGUGGAUAACCUACCUAUAAGACUGGGAUAACUUCGGGAAACCGGAGCUAAUACCGUAUAACAUGUUGAACCGCAUGGUUCAACAGUGAAAGACGGUCUUGCUGUCACUUAUAGAUGGAUCCGCGCCGCAUUAGCUAGUUGGUAAGGUAACGGCUUACCAAGGCAACGAUGCGUAGCCGACCUGAGAGGGUGAUCGGCCACACUGGAACGGAGACACGGACCAGAAUCCUACGGGAGGCAGCAGAAGGGAAUAUUACGCAAUGGGCGAAAGCAUGACGGAGCAACGCCGCGUGAGUGAAGAAGGUCUUCGGAUCGUAAAACUCUGUUAUUAGGGAAGAACAAAUGUGUAAGUAAAUAUGCACGUCUUGACGGUACCUAAUCAGAAAGCAACGGCUAACUACGUG